CUGCUGCACCUCCAUUCAUUGGGUGGGUGGGACCUACCCUGAGUCCACCCCUGCUCCCUGUUCAGAACCAGUGCUUCCAGGAGCAGGGCGGCAGCAGCUUUGUCCUUCUGCUGCUGGAUGUUGGAGCUGCCCUUUGUCCUCUGUUUUGUUACUGUGCCCGAGUGGAGCUGGGGAAGAUCAGGGGUGUAACCAGGCGCUCUGCUUCACCUCCUUGCACCUGAGCAGCCGUCCAGCGAAGCCUGCUGAUGGAGCUCACCUUAGCACCCUGAAGCUGCUGCCUGGAGCACGCUUGGCUGGGAGUUGCCCAUGCAGGGGUAGAAGGCUGCAGCAUGUGUUGCUCUCUAGCACGUUGGCCACCCCAAUGUCUGAAACGUCAGAGCAGACGUGUCUGGGUUCUCAGCCAAAGCAAGAGCUCCUGUGAGCUGGAGGAGCAUGUGUUAUGGAGCUGCAUCACCUGAUGACAGCUGUGGUGUGUGUUCUAGGCAAACCACCCGCUUAUGGAAUCACAGAACCAAUCCAGUUGGGAAAGACAAUUGAGAUGCCCAAGUCCAACCCCAGCCCACCCCACCAUGCCCACUGCCCAAGUCCUUCAGUGCCACGUCCCCGUGGUUCUGAACACCUCCAGGAAUGGGGACCCCAGCACUCCCUGGGCAGCUGUGCCA